rnacentral:rRNA from 1 species
GACGAACGCUGGCGGCGUGCUUAACACAUGCAAGUCGAACGGUAAGGCCCUUCGGGGUACACGAGUGGCGAACGGGUGAGUAACACGUGGGUGAUCUGCCCUGCACUUCGGGAUAAGCCUGGGAAACUGGGUCUAAUACCGGAUAGGACCACUGCCUGCAUGGGGGGUGGUGGAAAGCUUUUGCGGUGUGGGAUGGGCCCGCGGCCUAUCAGCUUGUUGGUGGGGUGAUGGCCUACCAAGGCGACGACGGGUAGCCGGCCUGAGAGGGUGACCGGCCACACGGGGACUGAGAUACGGCCCAGACUCCUACGGGAGGCAGCAGUGGGGAAUAUUGCACAAUGGGCGCAAGCCUGAUGCAGCGACGCCGCGUGAGGGAUGACGGCCUUCGGGUUGUAAACCUCUUUCAGCACCGACGAAGCGCAAGUGACGGUAGGUGCAGAAGAAGGACCGGCCAACUACGUGCCAGCCGCCGCGGUAAAAC